UGGAGCUACAGUCCACUGAAGGCCCCACAGACAAAAGGACAGAUGAUGGAAAAAGAGGAGCUCAUCCUUUGCCCACAAGCUGCUCCAGAGACGUGAACACUGACUGCAAUUUACUCUAGCCCUCAGCCCAACAUUUUCCCCGAUGUUGCUUGGAGGCCCCCUCCUUCUAAUCCUCUUCCCGUUGCUUUCUGGUGGACCUGGACGAGCUGGAGUUACUCAACAAAUGGUGUGGCUAUCCCAUGGCAUGAGGCCUGUGGGGGCUCACAGGAAGAGGGGAAGGGACAGCGGUAUGCUGGAGCUGCCUUGCAUUGGCUGAUUGUUAAAUUUUCAGGAAUUCUGUGAGCCGGUUGUUAAACACAGCCAUUAUGAAAAUGAAACUAUAUAAACC